GCCCCCGUGGCUCAGUGGAAAGAGCGGCGGCUUCCGAAGCCGCAGGUCGCAGGUUCGAUUCCUGCCGGGGGCU
rnacentral:tRNA from 1 species